rfam:Schistosoma rodhaini strain Burundi genome assembly, scaffold: SROB_scaffold0001041
AUCCAUUUGACGAGUCCCAAAUAGGACGCAAGAUGUGUUUUGGAU